rnacentral:rRNA from 1 species
UAGGGAAUAUUAGAAAUGGACGAAAGUCUGAUCUAGCAACACCGCGUGUGCGAAGAAGGCCUUCGGGUCGUAAAGCACUUUUUGGAAGGAAUAGGAAGGAAUGUACUUCCAGAAUAAGUCUCGGCUAACUACGUGCCAGCAGCCGCGGUAACACGUAGGAGGCGAACGUUAUCCGGAUUUACUGGGCGGAAAGCGCGUGUAGGUGGGUCUGUAAGUAGGGCGUGAAAGCUCCUGGCUCAACUGGGAGAGGCCGUUCUAAACUACAGAACUAGAGGAUGGUAGAGGGAGGUGGAAUUCCAGGUGUAGCGGUGGAAUGCGCAGAUAUCUGGAGGAACACCAGUGGCGAAGGCGGCCUCCUGGACCAUUCCUGACACUCAGACGCGAAAGCUAGGGUAGCAAACG